AUUGAACGCUGGCGGCAGGCCUAACACAUGCAAGUCGGGCGAGCGCCGGCAGGGUGAGUACUAUAUGGGGAUCGGCCUGAUGGAGGGGGAUCACUACGGGAAACGGUAGCUAAUACAGCAUACCAUCAGAUGAACCCAUAUGGGCUUAGCUAGUAGGUGAGGUAACGGCUCACCUAGGCGACGAUCCCUAGCUGGUCUGAGAGGAUGAUCAGCCACACGGGGACUGAGACACGGCCCAGACUCCUACGGGAGGCAGCAGUGGGGAAUAUUGCACAAGGGGCGCAAGCCUGAUACAGCCAUGCCGCGUGUAUGAAGAAGGCCUUCGGGUUGUAAAGUACUUGCAGUCGGGAGGCGUUACCGACAGAAGAAGCACCGGCUAACUCCGUGCCAGCAGCCGCGGUAAUAC
rnacentral:rRNA from 1 species